UCCUUCCAGAUCUACCUUGGCAGCACAGUCAGUUCCUUUAGGGGUCUUCUAACUGGGUUGUUCUUGAGUGACAUCAUAGCUGGUACCAUGGCAACCCCCAGCUAUGGCUUUGGGCAAGGUGAAGUCCCCUCCCCGCUCCAUCUUCCUCUUUCUCCUUCAUCCAUCCCUAUGAGCUAAAAGCUCAAAGGGAUACAGGCAGGAAGGAAGCAUUGAGAAAGGAGAAGAGCACUGAAGUCCUGAAUCCGUGAUCAAGAACCAGCCAGAGGAGGCUGUUGCUAUUCCCGCAAGAGAAUUGACUUCCUGACCUAAGAGAUGACAGCAGUUGGACCAAUGAUGGAAUAUCCUGGAGAAGCACAGAAGAACUCCAUAUGCCCACCCACCUGGCCUUAGAGGGAAGUUUAUAGACAAGGUCAUCUCUAAACCAUCAUGAUCUAGUUAAAUGAAGGGGGUUCCCUAGGCAGACAUCCCCAAAUCUGGCUUUCUAGCAAGAGAAGAUUUUUGGUAUAGAAUCAGCCCUUAUGAUCAUCUGGAGAAUGAGCCCUCAUUCAAGAAUUUGAUCUGGUCUCCUGUGUAGCACUCCUCUUGGACAGAAGAAAGAACACUCAUGUUGCCCCUGACACUGGAGGUGGAAAAAGCCACAACAUGAGGAAAUGGAGGAUCCACUAUUCCCAUGAGUUUUUAAGAGCACAUAAGUAAAAGGGUUGGUUGUACAUCAGCCCCAAA